CUUCCUGUGUGGAACCUGGAAUUCAAACGGCUGGGUAGGAAGCACGCUAGCAGGGGCCUCUGGCCUUGCUGAGGGUCCCUGUUUCCCCUUUUCCUUCCUUUUCACCCAACAAAACCCUGCUUUACUCACCCUUCAAACCAUCUAUGAGCCUAAAUUGUCGUGGUCGUGGAAUGGACAAGGACCCAGUCUUUAGCUGAACUAAGGGAAAGUCCUGCUUUUUGGCGCGCAACAGGGGAGCUCAAGAAACAGGCCUCACUCACGGCAUAUGGAACUAACCACGCCCCUAACUAAGAAGGCACACCUUAGUUGCAGUUAGCACACAAUUAAAGCAACUCUCCAAGUUUUACCUUAAAGUUCAAAAUUGCUAGGAGUUGAAACUACUAGAAAUAUAUUUACAUGCAAGAGUCAAAGAAACUUUGAACUAUUUAUGGCCUUUAAUAAUUAAGUAAGGUAUACUCCUGUGAUCAAGACUUGGAGCAUAUUUGUUUCUCUCUGCCUGGUUCCUCUAGAAAUUGGAAACUAUCAGAACAGAGACCAACUCCGUUUCCCGAUCCCUUUGCAAUCUGCAUUGAACCAUGAGUCAAGUUCUUGAUAAAGGAGUGAAAAUGGUAAGUCUAAAGCAAUGAAAAGCUGCUGUAUUGACUACACAUGCCUUCAUUUCUUCUACCCUGCUUCUUUCAUGCCUGCUUAUCUGAAUGACACCAGGAUGACAUUUAAGGCACAUCUGAAGAUGGGGAAACCACAGCACAGAAUAAGGCUGGGCCCUUGAAUCAAUAAAUGAAGGAGAACUACUCAAGAGAACAAAACCACCAGCAAUAUCCACCUGUAUUUGUCUUUUCAUAAGUGAGUAAAAAAGUAUUAAUACAUCAUUGGGAUUCAAGAUUUCAGUUGUUAAUGAUAGCACAGCAUAGCUCAUCCUAGAUGAGAUUUUAAUGUUGGAAAAAGGUUACUGGAUCUGGAGAGUAUUGGAUCAGAAAGCAUUGAGUGAAUAGUUUUCAUAGGUUUUAAAGAAUAUAUUUGUUUAGAUUGUUCAAUAUAUGCAUUUCUAUAAAUGUGUAUUAGGGAUGUCAAUGUGGUUAAAGUAGAAAAAUACUUUUAAAAUCCUGCUGUGGAACAAAGAAGGGAGAUAACUUGGAAAAUUGGUGGGGAACAGGGAAAUUCAAAAGGAAUGGCAGAAGCAUGGGCAUACAGGGAAUGUAAUAUGGUCAUUUUUAUAGUUGAGGGGAAAGCAGUAUCAUAUAGCAGGUGUUCUAUGUCUCUUUGCUGAAUACAUGAAAAUAAGUAAAAUCAAUAAAAGGAAAUGGAUUUAUAUCAAGUACU
ensembl:lncRNA LINC01515 long intergenic non-protein coding RNA 1515